GUUUCUGGACGUUUCUGACUCU
rnacentral:snRNA from 1 species